AGAGUUUGAUCCUGGCUCAGGAUCAACGCUGGCGGCGUGCCUAAUGCAUGCAAGUCGAACGGGGUCCUUUCGGGGGCUUACGUGGCGGACGGGUGAGGAACACGUGGGGAAUCUGUCCCGAGGUGGGGGGUAGCCCGCGGAAACGUGGGGUAAUUCCGCAUGAGCACACUGAUUGAGUAGGGUUGGUGUGGAAAGAUCUUCGGAUCGCCUUGGGGGGAGCCUGCGGCCGAUUAGCUAGUUGGUGGGGUAAUGGCGUACCAAGGCUUUGAUCGGUAGCUGGUCUGAGAGGACGGCCAGCCACAUGGGGACUGAGACACGGCCCCAACUCCUACGGGAGGCAGCAGCAAGGAAUUUUCCGCAAUGGGCGAAAGCCUGACGGAGCAACGCCGCGUGCGGGAUGACGCUUUUCGGAGUGUAAACCGCUUUUCUCAGGGAAGAUGAAGGACGGUACCUGAGGAAUAAGGCCCGGCUAACUACGUGCCAGCAGCCGCGGUAAUACGUAGGGGCCGAGCGUUGUCCGGAGUUAUUGGGCGUAAAGCGCGCGCAGGCGGCUUGGCGCGCCCGACGUGAAAGUCCCCGGCUUAACCGGGGAGAGUCGUCGGGUACGGCCAGGCUUGAGGGCGGGAGAGGUUGGUGGAAUUCCCGGUGUAGUGGUGAAAUGCGUAGAGAUCGGGAGGAACACCUGUGGCGAAGGCGGCCGACUGGGCCGACCCUGACGCUGAGGCGCGAAGGCGUGGGGAGCGAACGGGAUUAGAUACCCCGGUAGUCCACGCAGUAAACGAUGCAGACUAGGCGUAGGUGGACUUGACCCCAUCUGUGCCGGAGCUAACGCGGUAAGUCUGCCGCCUGGGGAGUACGGUCGCAAGACUGAAACUCAAAGGAAUUGACGG
rnacentral:rRNA from 1 species